rnacentral:rRNA from 1 species
AUGUCGGCGCCUUCAUCCUUCACCGUCCUCUUGCCCGUGCCUUUCCUUUCGGCCCUGUUUUUGUUGUGCGAGAACGUGAGGACGACGACCGGCGCCAAGUCCAGCUCGAGCACCCGCCUGCGUUGCGGCGUCGGUGCACUGCUCGUUGCCUGCCAAGACCGUCUCCGUGGAAUUUCACCAAGUACACCACCGUCAAGGCCACACGGAUGCCCAAACGAGUACCGAACGAAACGCCAAGACCUAUGA